rnacentral:rRNA from 1 species
AGGACGAACGCUGGCGGCGUGCUUAACACAUGCAAGUCGAGCGGAAAGGCCCUUCGGGGUACUCGAGCGGCGAACGGGUGAGUAACACGUGAGUAAUCUGCCCCUAGCUCUGGGAUAGCUCCGGGAAACCGGGAUUAAUACCAGAUACAACCACUUUAGACAUCUCUUGUGGUGGAAAGAAUUUCGGCUAGGGAUGAACUCGCGGCCUAUCAGCUUGUUGGUGGGGUAAUGGCCUACCAAGGCGACGACGGGUA